rnacentral:lncRNA from 1 species
CCCAAGUGCUGGUAUGGUGUUUGUUAAGCCUGGCCUUUGUGAAGCUCCCUGGGGUCUCCCUAGAAAUGCAAGCACACAGCAGAGUGGAUGAGCGAUGUAACAAGCUGUCCCUCCGUGGGGCACGGAGGUGAAUGCAGUGGUUAUUCUGUCAGCUCUAAUACAGAAAACCCUCUCCAGGAGAAUUCUGCAGUUUUACAAAGUAACACUGGUGCCACUACAAAUGGGACUAGGUACUAUUGGGUCAGUGUGGGAAAGGACACAGCAGCAAGGAUAGCUCCUGUAUUCUACCAAGUUUCCUGACCAAUUUCCCGCCUCUCAAUGAAGACACUGAGUACCAGGUCGGACUGACUACACAGAUAUUUCUUCAGUUUCUGAAACUUGUCAAGAGUCUUUCCAUAUUUGGAACAUUGCACAUCAGGAUAUAUCUGGUAGCCACCCAGCCUGCCCCCGCCUGACCACAUCCAGAUUUCCAGAGAUGCCCAAGCUGAAAGCCAGACAAGAAGGUGGAGGCUUUCCCUUUAAGAAAAGACUGAACUUGUAGGUCAUCAUUCUUGGCUGGACAUUAAUUAUUGAGUUUAUAUACAACACAUGCAUGCAGAACCCAGAGAGACCAAGAGAAGAAGAUGGAUUUCCCUGGAACUGGAAUUGCAGGCUAACAGAAAUGAGUGACAGCCUCGAGGGACUUGGAAGAUGUAGGGCAAGCUGAUUCCCAUCACAUCACAUCUGAUAAUGCUGAAGACACAUAGAUCCUGAGGAUGACCAACAGUUACCAGAAACCUAAUCAGUGGAAGGACAGCUUUUCCCAUGGACACU